rnacentral:rRNA from 1 species
UCGAGAAUUUUUCUCAAUGGGCGCAAGCCUGAAGGAGCGACGCCGCGUGUGGGAUGAAGGGUUUCGAUCCGUAAACCACUGUCAUUUGUGAACAAUGGUUAUCCAUGAAUAAUGGAUGACUUGAUAGUAAUGAAAGAGGAAGGGACGGCUAACUCUGUGCCAGCAGCCGCGGUAAUACAGAGGUCCCGAGCGUUGUUCGGAUUCACUGGGCGUAAAGGGUGCGUAGGUGGCAUGUUAAGUUUGAUGUGAAAGCUCAGGGCUCAACCCUGAAAUGGCAUUGAAUACUAGCGUGCUGGAGGUUUGGAGGGGGGACUGGAAUUCUCGGUGUAGCAGUGAAAUGCGUAGAUAUCGAGAGGAACACCAGUGGCGAAGGCGAGUCCCUGGACAACACCUGACACUGAGGCACGAAAGCUAGGGGAGCAAA